AGACAAUGAGACAAGUCAUCUCCUGAUAGUACCCUUCCUACCUCAAAGAAGAUGAUGAGCAUCGAAGAAUCUCCAUAUGGAGAUGGCUUUAAAUGUGGCAAAUGAGCCAACCGAGCAAAAAGAAAAUGCCCUCAUUUCAUGACAGACAGAAUUCUGCCAAAAAUGUGCAAGCCUAAAUGCAGGACAAGUCGACUGCCGAACUCUGCCAAGACAGGGCAUGCAAGGAUCUGCAUGACAAAUUCCAAAUCCCAGGCAGGGGAGACAGCUCAGCGAAUAAAGAACAAGAAUGAAGAGCUGAAAUACUACCCUAGAACCUGCACAAAGACUGUUCUGUAAUUCCAGUGAUCCUAAGGAAAUAGAAGCUGGGACACCUAGCAGGCAGAAAGUAUUAUGGGAUAAAGCCAGGUGCAUGAGAGAUUCAUCUGUCAAGACGUGAGGAGGACAAAUGUACCUGGGCAGAGGUAACCAGCCACAUGGCAGAAUAUUGACAGGGGCAGGUGAUACAGCUUUACCAUCUGCCGGAGGGAGAACUGAAAAUAUUGAUGAAGAUAUUACUACCUAUCUGGUAGUCAGCAUCUUGAAAGAGGCUGCAGAGAAGAAAGAAGAUCCAGGCAACAAUGACUGAGUCAACAUAGGGACGAGAAGAACUUGAAUGAGGUGUGACUGAAGUGAAAGGAAGAAUGACAAAGAUUACAAGGACCUUAGUUUAAGCAAUGGGGUGCAUGA